UACGUAGGGUGCGAGCGUUAAUCGGAAUUACUGGGCGUAAAGCGUGCGGAGGCGGUUUUGUAAGACAGAUGUGAAAUCCCCGGGCUUAACCUGGGAACUGCAUUUGUGACUGCAAGACUAGAGUGUGUCAGAGGGAGGUAGAAUUCCGCGUGUAGCAGUGAAAUGCGUAGAGAUGCGGAAGAACACCGAUGGCGAAGGCAGCCUCCUGGGAUAACACUGACGCUCAGGCACGAAAGCGUGGGGAGCAAACAGG
rnacentral:misc_RNA from 1 species